AUGUAUAUAAACCCCCAACAAAAUACACAACAAACCCUCAACGCAAUUAAACAGAACAUACUCUUUUUUGCGAUUUCAAUACUUUCAAUCACUCCAUCUGUGCAACUCCGCAAUGAAAGCUAUUGAGUCCAUGACUGGACUUUUGUGAUAUUUAUAUUCCGAUCUUCCUUACUUUAGCUCUAGAAAAUCAUGGUCUCACAUUUACCAACAUUAAGUAAUGAUGUUACUAGCAUUAAAUGAUGAGUUGGAUAAAUACUAAAGUUGGUUUUCACUAAUCAUCGUCUUUGGAGCUCUAAUCGCCCAAAUUGACCCCUUUUAGCCAAAUUAAACUGUAAAUUUGCUUAAGCUAAAAUGGGUUGAUUUGGAGACUGAAAGCUAUAUAAAUGACUUGAGAGUUAAAACAUACGUUCAUAUUUGUUCAUGACAUCACUUAACACUAGUGAAUCUAACAGAUAUCCAUUUUUCAAAACUUUAUGUAAUUAUUUAGAAUGUUUUAAAAGGUUAAGACAAAUUUAAAAUUUAGUUAUCCAAACUUAAUCCUAUAUUAAUUUAGUGAAAUUUAAUUAGUAAAAUCUAAAUAAGGCAAAGCAAAUUUAAUUCCACCUUUUUUAAUGUG
rnacentral:lncRNA from 1 species